AACGUAAACAACCUGCCUUCAGGAUGGGGACAACAGACGGAAACGACUGCUAAUACCGAAUAAGUUCCAAGGGCCGCAUGGCCCAUGGAAGAAAAGGUGGCCUCUACCUGUAAGCUAUCGCCUGAAGAGGGGUUUGCGUCUGAUUAGCUGGCUGGAGGGGUAACGGCCCACCAAGGCGACGAUCAGUAGCCGGUCUGAGAGGAUGAACGGCCACACUGGAACUGAGACACGGUCCAG
rnacentral:rRNA from 1 species